AAGCUCAAGGGCGUACAAAUCUUGCCAAUGGCAUUUCCCUGGACGUUACCGAUGACCUGCAAGGGUAGGGACCUGGAGUUUGCUCGGCUGGGAGUACGUGCACGGAAACCAGCUGGGU
ncrna:unclassified sequences Flavobacterium-1 RNA